GAUGAACGCUGGCGGCGUGCCUAAAACAUGCAAGUCGUGCGGUAACAGGCCCUUCGGGGUGCUGACGAGCGGCGGACGGCUGAGUAACGCGUGGGAACGUGCCCCAAAGUGAGGGAUAACUGCCCGAAAGGGUGGCUAAUACCGCAUAUGGUCUUCGGAUUAAAGCUUUUAGCGCUUUGGGAGCGGCCCGCGUCAGAUUAGAUAGUUGGUGAGGUAAUGGCUCACCAAGUCGAUGAUCUGUAACUGGUUUGAGAGGAUGAUCAGUCAGACUGGAACUGAGAAACGGUCCAGACUCCUACGGGAGGCAGCAGUUAGGAAUAUUCCACAAUGGGCGAAAGCCUGAUGGAGCAACGCCGCGUGGAGGAUGAAGGCCUUCGGGUUGUAAACUUCUUUUCUAUGCGAAGAAUAUGACGGUAACAUAGGAAUAAGGGUCUGCUAACUACGUGCCAGCAGCCGCGGUCAUACGUAGGACCCAAGCGUUAUCCGGAUUGACUGGGCGUAAAGAGUUGCGUAGGUGGCGAUUUAAGCGAAUAGUGAAAUCUUGUGGCUCAACCAUAAGGCUAUUAUUCGAACUGGGUCGCUCGAGAAUGGGAGAGGUAUCUGGAAUUUCUCAUGUAGGGGUAAUAUCCGUAGAUAUGAGAAGGAACACCAAUGGCGUAGGCAGGAUACUGGCCCAUUUCUGACACUGAGGCACGAAAGCGUGGGGAGCGAACCGGAUUAGAUACCCGGGUAGUCCACGCCGUAAACGAUGAAUACUAGCUGUAUGCAGUAUCGACCCUGUGUGUAGCGAAGCUAACGCGUUAAGUAUUCCGCCUGGGGAGUACGGUCGCAAGACUAAAACUCAAAGGAAUUGACGGGGACCCGCACAAGCGGUGGAGCGUGUUGUUUAAUUCGAUGGUAAGCGAAGAACCUUACCAAGGCUUGACAUCCUGAGAAUUACUCCGAAAGGAGUGAGUGCCGGGUUAGAGUACAGAAUUAUUCACACAUUGCACGCGAUUUAUAAAUACGCGUGGGAUGGAGUGAAAUUGUGUAUUGUAACCCGGAACUCAGUGACAGGUGUUGCAUGGCCGUCGUCAGCUCGUGUCGUGAGAUGUUUGGUUAAGUCCAUCAACGAGCGCAACCCUUAUGAUUAGUUGGAUUUUUCUAGUCAGACUGCCCCGGUAACGGGGAGGAAGGAGGGGAUGAUGUCAGGUCAGUAUUACCCUUACGCCUUGGGCGACAAACGCGCUACAAUGGCCGGUACAAUGGGCAGCCAAGUUGUGAAACGGAGCAAAUCCCAUCAAAGCCGGUCCCAGUUCGGAUUGCAGGCUGAAACUCGCCUGCAUGAAGUCGGAAUCGCUAGUAAUCGCAGAUCAGAAUGCUGCGGUGAAUACGUUCCCGGGUCUUGUACACACCGCCCGUCAAACCACGAAAGUCACCAACACCCGAAGUCUGAAUUUAUUUCGGCCUAAGGUGGGGGGGAUGAUUGGGGU
rnacentral:rRNA from 1 species